rnacentral:ncRNA from 1 species
AGAUAGAGGACGCGUUGUGUCAUCAGUAACUCCGCCCAGGCGAUGCAGAGCCGGCGGGGCGAAAGGGGCAGACGCCGAAGGGAACGAUCCGCUGCAUGGGACGCUGCCCUGGGAGGACGAAAUAAGAUUCGUUCGACUGUCGCAAAAGAAAUUUGCGGAGAGCUAUCC